GAUGAAGAACGUAGCGAAAUGCGAUAAGUAAUGUGAAUUGCAGAAUUCAGUGAAUCAUCGAAUCUUUGAACGCAUCUUGCGCUCCUUGGUAUUCUGAGGAGCAUGCCUGUUUGAGUGUCAUUAAAUUCUCAACCGCACUGACUUUGAAUUGGUGUGGCUUGGAUUUGGGGGGAAAAUUGUUGUGGGCUUUUUUGUAUAGUCUGCUCCCCUGAAAUUGAUUAGCGGUACCUUUGUGGAACUGUCUACAGGUGUGAUAAUUAUCUACAUCCUAGACAUCUGCUGGAAUGCUGCUUUCUAAACCUUACUUGUACUGACAAUCUUGACCUCAAAUCAGGUAGGACUACCCGCUGAACUUAAGCAUAUCAAUAAGCGGAGGA
rnacentral:misc_RNA from 1 species